CCUACGGGAGGCAGCAGUGGGGAAUAUUGCGCAAUGGGCGAAAGCCUGACGCAGCGACGCCGCGUGAGGGAUGAAGGUCUUCGGAUCGUAAACCUCUGUCAGCAGGGAAGAACGGUCACUGUGCUAAUCAGCAGUGAAUUGACGGUACCUGCAAAGGAAGCACCGGCUAACUCCGUGCCAGCAGCCGCGGUAAUAAGGAGGGUGCGAGCGUUAGUCGGAAUUACUGGGCGUAAAGCGCUCGUAGGCGGUAUGUCAAGCCAAGGGUGAAAUCCCCGCGCUCAACGUGGGAACUGCCUUUGAAACUGGCAAACUUGAGUGUGUGAGAGGAUAGUGGAAUUCCAGGUGUAGGAGUGAAAUCCGUAGAUAUAUGGAGGAACAUCAGUGGCGAAGGCGACUAUCUGGCACAUAACUGACGCUGAGGAGCGAAAGCGUGGGUAGCAAACAGGAUUAGAUACCCGAGUAGUC
rnacentral:rRNA from 1 species